rnacentral:misc_RNA from 1 species
UAUGAAGUAUUAAAUAUAGAGGAAAAAAUAACUAAUUACAUAGAUUGUGUGUAAAUUGCGAGACGAAUCUUUUAAGCUUAAUUACGCCAUGAUUUGACAAUGUUGUGCUACAGUAAACAUUUACUAAUAAUAGAUUAAUUAGACUUAAUAAAUUCAUCUCGCGGUUUACAGGCGGAUUCUAUAAUUUGUUUUGUUAUUAGACUACGCUUGAUACUUUAAA